rnacentral:lncRNA from 1 species
AAAAUGCUACUAAAAUGACAGCAAAGAAGCCAAAAAGGCCCAAGUCCACAAGACAGAAAGAAUAGGUGAAAAGUCCAUGUCAUCUCAUUUUUGGAGAUGGACAUGGACAGGGGCUGAAACUGCAGUACCAGCAGAUGGGGAGCUUAAGAAGGAAGCUAGUUCAUGGCACAGCACCCGUAAAGUCCCCAGAAUUGGAGGCACCAGAUUCUUCUGAAAGAAAAGGAGCAAUUCAGCACUUGUCAUGCAGAUAAGAGGUCAACACCCCAGGACGGAGUGAAAACCUAAGGAUUCACAAACCCACCCUUGUGCGAAUCCAGCCGUCUGUGUUCUAGACUGGCAAGGACCAUAUCUGAUUCUGAGAUGCUCAGGAAGGUGUGCUCCCAAUUGGCCCUUGUCCAGACUAGUUUACUUGCUGAGUAUCCCCAGGGCACAGGAACAAUCAUUUGGGGUUGCGGCUUUGUUCAUAGGGUCAUCAAGACAGGAGGAUAUGAGGCAGAAUCACCACACAAGCUAACCUGAUGUACAUAUGACAUUAAUCCAAUAGACUUAGGAAUAAGAUACAGGGGGUUUUCCUGAAUGAUUCGAGUAUAUCCCCAUUCAUAUUAAGAAAACAAAGUAUUGGCCAAGCGUGGUGGCUCACGCCUGUAAUCCCGGCACUUUGGAAGGCCGAGGCCAGUGGAUCACCUGAGAUGGACUCAACGACUCUCUUACCGUCCAGCUCUCAAGUCCCUUCUCUUGUGAAAAUGGAAAAGUUGAACUACAGUUGAGAUAUUAUUCCCAGGUGUUCUUUGGAACACAGGGGAUUUCUCCAAAAGGCACAGAACAAAUUGCCUCCAAACAGCCAAGAUUCCAGCAGAAGCUGGAGUAGCAGACUACUUGGAUCUUCAAAGUACCUGGCCCUGAGUCAGUUAAGGAAGAUCUUUUCUUCUCUUUUGUACAAUCCUAUGAUGAGAGCUGCAAAGUGAACUGACUAAGAGCUUCUGCCUUGAUCAUUGACCUCCCAAUCCUAAUAAUAUGUUCACUGGCCAAACUUCCUAAUCGAUUUGUCUUUUGGAUAUAACGUUCCUCCUACUGUUUGCCUGAUUGAGAAAUCUGCUACAGAACAUGACCGGUUAGCAUUCCCACCAACCCCAGUGCUACACUGACUGUCUUUCGAUGGACUUUGCUCCUUGCUGCCUCUCUGAGGUCCCAGACCUUCAGAGUGACCUUCACAGCUCUGCCUAACUUUCUGUCAUACUUCUAUCAAGAGAGACAGCUAAAUCAAUAUUUUUAAUGUGCUUUGCUGUCGGAAUUCGAUGAUCUGUCACAGUUCUUGCCCAAUACACCCCAUCAUUAUUGUUAAAAUGUUUUUAGCUUUGUUUGUAGAAUUGCUUUAACUGGUUUCAUCUCUGGGAGCUACACUUUGAAAUAUAACUUUAGCAACAUUUUACUAUACUUUUUCACAACCCAGAGCAGUACUAUUUUAUGCUUAGUGGUUAAACUAAUUCCAUAAAUCUUUUGCAACUAUCCUCUAUUCUUUUUCUUGUAAUUUUUACCUGGGAAGGUUUUUACUGAUAAUCAUCCUAUCCUGAGUCAUCCCACAAACCAAUCUGUCUCACUAAUCAUUGCUUCUAACCUACAGACUAAGCAUAACUUCUGCUAAAUGAUCUUUGAUAAGAUGCUAUGACUCUAUAAAGUCUUUGAUAUUCAUGUCUAAAUUUAAUCACUUGUAGAUUUUCAUAGAAUCAAUCUUUCACUUCUACAAUUGGGAGUAUUUAUAAGUUGUUUAUCUUAAACAGUUCCUCUAUCACGCUUUUCACGUUAAAUAAAGCAAUCCCUUCAAAUCAA